UCCUUUAUUUUUGUGACUGGUGAUUAACCUAGAGGUGCUCUUCCCUGGAGCCACAUCCCGACCUUGAGAUAGGGUCCGGCCAAAUUGCCCAGCCUGGCCUCCAACUUGUAUCCUCCUGCCUCAGCCUCCUGUGUUUCGGGAUUACAGGUGUGCACCACUGUGCCUGGCUUUGUACCAUCUUUUAAGAUUCAGCAGAACAAUGCUGGGUGUGCUCGAUGCCUGUCUGUAAUCCCAGGGACUCAGAAGCUGAGGCAGGAGAAUGCAAGUUGGAGGCCAGCCUAGGGGGGAAUAAAGAUUUGGUGGAAGAAUUUUGCCUGAGUAAGAUGCUGUGCUCUCUGGAGUCCAGGAGGACUGAGCAGAGGAGAAGCAGACAUUGAGUCACCAACGGAAUCACAGGGCUUGAUUUCUUUUUUGUUGUAAUUUCUCAAACAUUCAUAAAAAUAUAUAGAAUAAUGAAUCCAUGCUUCCAAUACCUAUUGAAACAAUCCAGUCUUAUUUUUCCUAUUCACUUUAUUUUUUUAUUUUUUGGGUAAUAGGUAUUGAACCCAGAGGUGCUUAACCAUGAGCCACAUCCCCAGCCCUUUUUAUUUUUUGUUUUGAGACAGGGUCUCACUAAGUUGCUUAGGGCCUUGCUAAGUUGCUGAGGCUGGCUUUGAACUUUUGAUCCUCCUGCCUCAGUCUCCCAAGUUGCUUGGAUUACAGGUGUGUGCCACCAUGCUUGGCCCUACCCGCUUUACUAAAAAAAUAUUUUUUAUCACCAGAGAAAAGCUAAUUGCAGGUAUCUUGUCUCAUUUUAUCUGUAUAUGGCUAUCCCUUUCUUCUUUCCUUUCUUUCUUUCGUAGAUGGACACAAUGCCUUUAUUUAUUUAUGUGGUGCUGAGGAUCAAACCCAGGGCCUAUCACAUGCUAGGCAAGGGCUCUACCACUGAGCCACAGCCCAGGUCCUAUAUUGUUUUCUAUAGGAAAAUAAUUUAACAUGAUUAUUGUGAUACAUCUAAUACAUUUAAUAAUUAUUUCAGCAUCUUUCAAAAGUUGCGAUGUCCUGGUCAGUUCCUCUAGCUACUUACAAACACUAAGAAAAGUUAACUUCACAUUCCUAAUGUUAUCCAGAUAAUAUUUUAUUGAUUUCUAAAAUUUUGAGUUUUUUAUUGCUCAAUAAUUCCUUCAUAGGUCAUAGGACGACUUAAGAUAAAACUUGUUUUUUUUUAAUAAAUAAAUUUGAUAAACAUUCUAUACUUGAUCCUCAUGAUGAUUUACAAAGCAGGUUAUGGUAAGCAGAAUUCUGGAAAGUUUGGCAAUAAAGACUUAACUGGCUUCACCAGGAAUUUCCUAAAUGUAUUUGACCUGAAAAUAUGUUUUUUGUGUAAAAUCUAUUAGCCAUAAUACAUUCUGGGGAAUUUUGUUAUAGGCAGGCAAAUGCUGCCUUUGAAUAUCAAACUAGAAAUGUUUAACAUUGUUUAAAUUUCAAUUAGAUAAUUAUUGGUUCAUUUUGCAUUAUCAUUGUAAUCAAAUAACAUUUGGGUUUUCCACACAACCCUCUUAAUAUUAAUAAUAUAGUGUAACAGGUCAUCCUCCUUAGGGGCUUUUACUCUGGAAAUCUUUCAUCACACUGCAUAAUCCAAUGAAGUAUUCACGUAUUUUUCUACUUUAAAAAGGUAUUUAUCCACUCCUUCCAUAAGGAAAGAUAAAUGCACUAGUAUUUUUUUGAGGGGAGGCUGGAGAUGAGAUGUACAGAUGUCAAGGAGGUGCGCCUGAAGCCUGCAGGGAGCAGCUGGACAGUCUCUACUUGUGAAGAAUUGCUUAGAAAUGACUCUUACAGGGUAUCAGCGAAGGCAGCAGCACAGACGUUGGCACAAAUGGUACACCGACAUUUCCAUGCACUCUGAAAAUAUGUUCACUUACAAAAUGUGAAGGGGCUAACAGGCCAGAUGGAACUGAUCUGUAGUAAAAGAACAAGUCCCAAUCUGUCCCCCUCUGCUCACUGGUGGUACCAAGUGGGCAGGGAGCUGUGAGCAAUGUGCGGGGCUCUGAAGCUCCUGCUCUAGCACAGUGGCCCCCACCCACCCUGAUCCAGUGGCGCUGCCCUUCAGGGGGCUGGUGGGUGGCAGGCACCAUGGUCCUGUUUGUGUUGUGCUAUGGCUCUUCUCUCUCUGGUGCCACAAGAGUAAUUUCCCCUUUAUUUACAGUCAAGCUCCAGCUUCAAGCCGAAGACCGAGGGGUUGUGUCCAUCAAGGGAUUGUGUGCAAACCGAUACCUGGCCAUGAAGGAGGACGGGAGGCUCCUGGCUUCUCUGCAGGGAGAUAAGUGCCUCCUCUACCAGGCUCAGGGCAGCGAAGCGGUCACCACGGACUGAACCCGGAGCUCCUUUCUGUGGUCCUCGUCAGCUGUUCUGGUCACAGCAAACCUGACUAACGCAGGUGGACGCUGACAGGCCAAGUCUCUCCUCCUGCUCCCCCCAGAUCCAAAGGUCUCCGCACGCAUGGGGCAGAGUUCCUCUCGGGUGCCACCUGCUCCACUGUCCACUCCCCCAACGCUGGGCCAGCGGGAACUCAGGGGCACGCUGAGGUGGGCUCAAACCCCAGGAGGGUGUGCACUGACUGGGAGCUGCAGGGCCACCCGCACUGCGGGCCGAGGGCAGUGCCCAGGCCUCGUGCUCAGGCCCUGCUCGCCUUGUGAGCUGACCGCAGCUUCUCAGCCGCGGUGCUCCUGACCUCACUGGGCGGAGGCGCCCUUCCUGCUCCCUCAGCUCUGCCCACAGCUCCGGAUCAGAGCCCUGCUGCCGACACAGUCCAACUCUCCUCCAGGGUCCACCUGACAGACUGAAGGAAGAGAGACGGAGCUCCGUCCUGGAGCCCGGUGUCCCUCCAGGUCAGCGCUCCAACAAUCACGUUGGGAUCUAGGUGUGGUUUGGAAGGACGUGGAAGAGGACAAGAUUAUUUUCAAAAGUUCAGAUUUCAAAACUGCUUCUCAGCAGGACCUCCCACGGCAUGUGUUUGGCUGGUGGUGGAAUGGGGCUUCUCCGCUGACCUGCUGACCCCUGCAGGUGAGACGGGCGGCCCUUGCUGGGGGUCCUGGGGGGAUGGCCAAGCCCCACCCCCAUUCUUUCACAAAGCAGCAGGUCAGUGGAUGCAUUUUCCUUGCGAUGCGGCCUCACACUCUUUCCACCUGAGCAGACCCUUGUUCCUCCUAACCCCACCUGGCCCCCAGCAGGCCCACCAGGGCUCACACACUGUCCUCCCGGCCUCUUGAGACAAGCAAGACUCCCAACCACGGGAGCCGGUUCUCAUAAACCCAGGCAGGAAGCAGCGGCAGAGCGGCACCCACACCCCCCAGCACACACAGCCCCACCUGGCCGUGGGCUUCCCGCGGCACAGACAUGCCCAGAACCUGUGGAAACGUCCCCUGAAAACACGUCAUGGUGCUCUCGAAAGCCGUGCAGAAACAAGAACACAGCAGUGGCCAAGUGUGGACGGUCUGCUCGGCGCACAGUGGGCUGGGGCUCCCAGAGGUGCCUCGGAGUCUCCACGCCGCGCCAACAGCCCCUCAGUUCCGCUUGGCCUGGCCGCUCUCCCCGUUGACCAGCGUCUUCUCCUGCUGCUCUGCCAGGGCCUGCCACUUCUGCCUGUUCCUCUGGCAGCCCUCCAGCAAGGGCCGGCAGUCCUCCGACACGUGGGUCAGGGCCUGGAGAGGAAGAGAGGAAGCAGGUGGAAGGACGCAGGCCGCAGCCCGCCCAGGCCACGCUCCACUCCUCUCGGGAGCCUGGCCUUCCCACGUGGACAACACACAGGGACCUCAGGAGGGAGUCCCCCGCAGCACCGAGGUGUGGAGGCUGGGCUGGGUGGGACCCGCUGUUUGGGGAACAGGGCUUGUUUCUGUGUGGUGCAGACGGCUUCGGGGGGUGACUAGCAGGCUUGCAGUGCUGAGAGGCGAGCCAAGUAGGAGUGACGCAUCGCAGUUUCUUUGUCAGCCUACCCCAUGUUGCUUAGAGGAAGGACUCUCCAUGGUGGACCCAGAUCAUUUGCAGUGACUUUGCAUGAAAGGUGACCUUGCUCAAGGACCAGGGCGGAUCCGGGUUUAGGGUGGAUCAGGGUUUAAGGCGGAUGGGGGUUUAGGGCCUUCUGGGUUUAGGGCGGUUCCAGGUUUAAGGUGAUUCCUGCUGGGAAUAGGGCCUAUCCUGCUGCCUCAGGCGCGCCCGCUCCUUGAGUUCCCGUUGAGUGCGGGAUUCAGAGAGUAUUUUGGGAUACAGAGCCCAGUGGAGGUGUGGAUUUUGCCCAGAACGUGCGUGUAGAGGGCCGGUGAGAGUUCGGGAAUAAAGAAUUGCUGUUUGAAUCUACAA